AUGUUCAAUAACAACGAUACUUUCUCCGUCCGUUUUCUGUUCUGCAACUCAACCAUCAGGGAAGACACCCUCUUCCGCUUUGCUACUCACAAACAAGAUUCAUCUCAGCCAUUUUAUUCCCUUCAACAUUGUCCAACGUCAACAACCCAACAACCACACCAAACCUUCUUCGUAGCAUACUCCAUAUGUAUUCCUUCCAACACAACCCAGCUACCACACCAACCAAUUGUUCCACAUCUCCGGUCAAACCAACCACUCCUCUGUUCACAGACUCACCUUCCUCCACCAUCAUCUUCAAGUUGGUACUAA